UACUUGUACUGAAAUGUGAUUUUAAUUGUAUGUUAAUAAAUAAAGUUGUCUGGGGGUCAGAGCUAUUAGAGCCAUAGCAAGUGCAUGGCGGCGGUGGCGCACGCCUUUAAGGACCUGGAGGGCGGUACGUUCAGGCAAUGACGAGGCAGUCACAUGUUUGGGUUUACAACCAAUGAGAAGGCAGAACAGCUAGACUAUAUAAAGACACACACAGGAAGUAGGUCCCCUUUUUCGGAGAGCUCUCUUGGCUGAAGAGGAUCCCUGAAUCAGGAAGGGAAGAGUGCAAUCAAAGACCUGAUGUGAGUGCUAAUGCUAUCAACAUGACAGGCACUAGUCACCCAGAGGACAAAGCUCUGAGCAUGUCUGUGAGGAGGCUCCUAUAUUGGCCAAUUGGGGUGGGAAGAUUCACCAUAAUGUAGGUGACACCAUCCCAUGGGCUGUAUUGAAUAAAAAGGAGCAAGUGAGCUGAGCACUGCAUCCAUCUCCCUCUUCCUGACUGCGGAUGCCACGUGACCAGCCGCUUCCUGCUGUUGCCGUGUCCCCCACUGUGAUAGCGCGUCCCCUGGAACUGUGAGCCAAAAAUGAACAACCCCUCUUCAGAUCACCCUUUUUUUCACCCCAAAUCAUGGUAGACCAUCUUUUCAGAGUGUCUCUUCCCAUGAUCUCUACAAAGAAGGGUCUCUAUACUGCAAGUGACGCUGUAAUGACACUGAGUCUUUUGUGUUCCUGCAUGAUUUGUCUUCUCAAACACUGAGUCAUUUGAGGAUACCAUCACUUCGUCAGUGAACAUGUGAAAGGGCCCCGGUGUCUGUUUCUGAUGGAUGCAGGACAACCCAAGAGAAGCUCCAAGGACGUUUAACCACAAAUGGACAUUCUGGCUAUCAGGAGACACUGCUACCAAGAUGUGGCCGAUGUUUUCCUCAGUCACCUUCUAUCUGACUCCUUGCCUACAGGGCAUCAGGGUGGGACCACUUUAGUGGUUUGAAUGAAAAUGGCCCCUAUAGGCUCAUAGGGAAUGACACUAUUAGGAGGUGUGGCCUUGUUGGAGGAAGUGUGUCACUUGGGGGGGGGGGGGGGCUUUGAGGUUUCAGAAGCUCAAGCCAGGCCCAGUGUCACUCUCUCUUCCUGCUGCCUGCUGAUCCAGAAGUAGAACUCUUGGCUCCUUCUCCAGCACCAUGUCUGCCUGCACACCACCAUACUUUCCACCAUGAUGAUAAUGGACUACACCUCUGAACUGUAAGCCAGCCCCAAUUAAAUGUUUCCCUUUGUGAGA